rnacentral:lncRNA from 1 species
CUAUUGGAGUCACUUAACUGAGACACAUUGUGGGACAGGCUGCUAAAACUUGGGUUUUCUUCAGCAAGAUUCCACUCGCCUUUUGAAGAAUCACUGAAGUCUAGUGGCAAGACAAAAGUCUGGAUAACUGGUGAUGGUGCAGGAUACAGUAAAUGACCAUGGUAUCUUCAAUAUCUGACCAAAUUCUAAGUGCUGCUCAGUACCUACCACCUUAAUGGCCAUUGGAACAAAUUGUUCUCAUCCACCCAUUCUACUUGGAGUUAUUGUAAGAAUUCAAGAAGAGAAAGCCUUUGAAGAAAAAACAAUGGGUGUUAUGUAAAUAUCAACUCUAAAAUUCAUCUACUUAACCUCAUCAGAACUAACCUGAGAUUUGUAAGUAGACUGCUGACUCUGAGACCAGAUGAAUCCUGCUUGGUCAAAAUGAGGUCAUGAUUGCUCCUGCUUCCAUGGACUCAGUUCCUCAGGGCAGUGAUUACUACUUUUUACAUUUUCGCUAAAAAAAAUAUAGAUUUUUUUGC